UGCAAUCCAGUUUUGUGAUUCCCUGAACUUUUUCCCAUUUUUCUUUCUUUCAUUAGAGUUUUGUUUAAAGAGUUUCUAUUUUGGAAUUCCUGGUUUGGUUUUGGUUCACAAAAGCUGAAACAUGGUUUGAAUUAGAAGUUGUUGUGUGAUUCCAUUUACUGCUGGUCUAUUGCUGCUGCGUUCAUCCUAACCUCAAGCUUAUUUUCUUUCUUACUCUUGCUUUAAUCAAGUACCAUUUUUUACUG
rnacentral:lncRNA from 1 species